GUGGGACUGUGGUUUCCUGAACAAUGGUGAUGUCACCAGAUACCCGGCGCAGCUGGGAGAGUGUGGAUUGAGGAAUCCAGCCACUAUCAGGUUAAGAUCAUCCCAGUUCCUCAUUUGGAGUUUUGCGGUACAUCGCAACCUGGUUGAACUAGAAGUGUGGAACUGAGAGCCGUUGUAGUGGGCUGUCUUCUUCGGGUGUCUUACCGUUCUGUCUUACCAGGGCUGUUUUACCGGGCUGCUGUCUUACCAGGGCUGUCUUAUCGGGCUGUCUUCUUGCUGGGCUACUUUUUGGUUGCUUGGCUGUCUAGCUGUUUGCUUCACUGCCUGGCUGUUUUGUGGUCUGUGGGUUGCUAAAGCACGGAUGGAGCGACAUAUUGCAUCGGCGUGCAUGCUAUCUACGUACCGAGCAUCAGCAUGGGAUGCAUUUCCUGGCCAUACCGUGCUAUAGCUAACGGCUUACUGGAUUAGCCACGGAGCUAAGUGCUAGUGCUUUUGCGGACUGUGUGCUUUGUUUAUAUACAUGUAUGUGUUAGUGUGUCUGUUUCAGUGCUCCACACUGAGAGGUCUGCUGAGAGGUGGCCUGAGAAACUGCUGCUAUACAUAUCUGUUUAUCUGAGGAGUUUGAAGACCUGGAUGCUACCCAACAGUUAGUGGAAUGCUAAGAGGUCAUGUGCUUAUUUGAUGCGGUAUAUUGAAUGGAAUUGACUGUUUUUAUUAUUCCUGUUGUACUUCUUUUGCUUUUUGUCCUUGUUAUUGUACUUUCGUGUGUGUGUGUUUGUGUAAGUAAAUUGAUUUGACCAUACUGUGGUUUGCUUCUUCUCCAGGUGUCUGGGAGACCAGUUCUAGUGUGAGGGACAAGUUCCUCUCUGCUUGGUGGUGGUUUCCUUCGGUGUGCAGUGGUCGACAGGUGGGGUUGUGGUGUCGUACGAGUGCAUGUGUGUUUGCUGUGGAUAGGAGAUCAUUAGAAUAAGGUCCCCAGCCCUGGAGUCCAGGCAUUCUUGUGUGGUAUAAUCUGUAUGGUGUGAUGUAAUUUUAGUUCUUAAUAAACUGUGUGUAUUAUA